CAGAGUCGGCGGGAAGAGGCAGUGGACCCACCCAGGGCGUGAAGAUGCUUCUCAGAGUGAGGCCUGGGAAGCAGCUUUUGGCCCCAGGGCCAAGCAGUAGGAACUGACAAAGCACAGAGAGUCCACCUGUGUGCAUAGCCGAGCUGCAAACUCAAGGUUGUCACAUGAGAACCCUACCCACUGCCUCAAGGGAGAAAACGGCUUGGCUCUAGGAGUCAGGCCUGCGGUGGGGCCCAGGCAGCCCUCACUGGCUGAGACCCUUGCAGUGUUCUCGAUGCUCAAGCCUUGUCCGCUUCCCUCGGGGCAGGGUAUUACCUCGGCAGUUGGUGUUUGCGGCCGGGUGAAUCUGUGCACCGGGCUGCUCUGUGCGUUGUGGGAGGUUGAGCAGCAUCCUUGGCCCCAACGAUGGAUGGCAGUCCCUCCCACCUGUCAGCCAACAGGCCCCAGAAGGUCAGGUGUCCCCCAGGCCACUGGGCACUACUGGGUUGUUAACCUGCACCUCCCAUGCGACAAAUGGUGCUAAGCAUUGGGGACAUGGCAGUGAACAAUGACAGCUCUUCCCCAACAUGGGCCACACAUAUCACGUCCCGGAAUAUGUGCUCUUGUGGCCGCCCCUGAUCAGAUACAUCAGGAGACAGUGGACUCCCAGGUGCAGGGAGGGUCAGGGCUGAGGUGGAAGUGGGCAGGGGCAGUCGUGUGCUGCUUGGCUCCGGUGACACCUGGCCCAGCACCUGGUGGGUGAGGAGAGGCAAGUGAGAUGCUGUGUCCUCAGUUGUCCUCCUCUCCACCUGGGAGGCAUGUAAUUCCCAGAAACCUCAGCAGGGGCUGACUCCGCACUGGCCAGAGCCGGCCCUACGCCACCCAGGAACCAACUGUGGCCCAAGGAAAGGGGUUUCCGUGAGGCUUGAGUGUGUCAUGGCUCCCCUGCAGUUCUGGGGCUACCUUCCCUGGGCACGUUCCACCCAGUUCCUGAGCAAAGCAAAGAGGCAAUGGCCACUGGGUCACCAUCUACCAUGAAGUCGGAUUGCUCCCAUGGGUUGGGUGGGUGUGAAGCUCGGCAUCACCAGGGAGCUGUCGGGAGAGAUGCUCACCCCAGUUCCCGCCUGCUGAGCUGUGGCUUUUGGGGAGGUGGUUUGAGCAUUUGUAGUUUCCAAGGCCCCCAGAGCAGCUGUCCUGUGGCCGUUAUCUGCCGCCACCGCACUAAACAAAGCACCUCCAUUUCAACAUCUCUGGGGAAGAGGAUUCCAGAGAACACACUUCAGGGAAACGCACAAUUUUACACGCCCAGCUAGCAGCCCUUUGCCCUUUAGUGAGAAAGGGUUGAGCUGUCCUUUUUCCUUCCUUUUAAAAAACAUUUGGGCUGCGAGCGGUACCUCACGCCUGUAUUCCCAGCAUUUUGGAAGGCCGAGGCAGGGGGAUCACUUGAGGUCAGGAAUUUGAGACCAGUCUGGCCAACAUGGUGAAGCUCUGUCUCUACCAAAAAAUACAAAAAUUAGCCAGGUGUGGCGGCGCACGCCUGUAAUCCCAGCUACUUGGGAGACUGAGGUGGGAGAAAUGCUUGAACCUGAGAGGCAGAGGUUGCAGUCAUCUGAGAUUGUGCCACUGCACUCCAGCCUGGGUGACAGUGGGACAUCCUGUCUCUUAAAAAAAAAAAAAAAAAAAGCAAGAUGUGUUUCCCCCAUCCCCCAAGGACCAGUGUUUGCCCGUCUGUGGGUAGCAGCACUGCACUGACAAUGUGGGACUUUGGCCCGAUGCCCUGAGAUCCAUCCGCGGUGUGACUGCAGAGCAGGAUUCACAGGGUGGAGGCGCCACAAUGGAUCUGUGUCCCCGGAAAGAAUAUUUGCAGUUUCCAGUUGGACACUUUAUGAAUAAAAUCACUAUAAACA
rnacentral:lncRNA from 1 species